GUAGGUAGCCCAUAGUUGGGUUUUGCUUUUUUAGCAGGGCCCUGGGCUGCCCUCGCGCCAAUGCAGGGAGCUCCACAAAGAUGAAGCAGAACACAAGGAAAGCCUGAGUCAGGCAGAAAUCCGUGUUGCUGGGGUCUGUAAACCAAAGCCAGCUCCUUGAAAAGGUCUGCUGCGUUGGAGCCUGUGAUUCUGAUUUAGAAGAGACGGCGUUGCCAUCCUGGCCAACAUGGUGAAACCCCAUCUCCACUAAAAAUACAAAAAUUAGCCGGGCAUGGUGGCACAUGCCUGUAAUCCCAGCAACUCGGGAGGCUGAGGCAGGAGAAUCACUUGAACCAGGGAGUCGGAGGUUGCGGUGAGCUGAGAUUGCACCACUGCACUCCAGCCUGGGCGUCGAUAAAUGGCAAUAAGGGAGGCGUGCCUGCCGCAAGGGUUUUGUGAAAGCUAUAAGAACACACUCCCUACAAAUUUAUACCGACACACCACAGACUUAGAGGAAAAGGUUUCCCAGGCCCUUCCCAAGGCCCUGAAGUUGACUUUCUAAGCCAAACAGACGGGACAUGUGGAUGGAAGGUCCACUUCUCAAAGAAAGUCUGAAGCAAGCUCAGGAAACUUCUGGAGCUUUCUGGAGCUGCACGGAAAGCUGUGGAUAUGUGGCCCCAUGACGUGGGUCUCUGAACUUGCAUAGACUUGACGUAUGGCACAAAAAUUGCAGAUGGAAAAGAGGAAACCACAGCUUUCACGCUAAUGAACAGUGUUUCUUACAAAGAGUUACCUGGCUUCUAGAUCUGUGAUCAUGAAUUCCAGUAAAGGCAAUCGGUUUGGUCUUUCUUUCUUGAGGA
rnacentral:lncRNA from 1 species